rnacentral:rRNA from 1 species
UAGUCCACGCCCUGAACGAUGUACACUAGUUGUUGUGAGGCUAGACCUUGCAGUAAUGCAGUUAACACAUUAAGUGUACCGCCUGGGGAGUACGGUCGCAAGAUUAAAACUCAAAGGAAUAGACGGGGACCCGCACAAGCGGUGGAGCAUGUGGUUUAAUUCGACGAUACGCGAAGAACCUUACCUGGACUUGACAUAGAAAGGAUAACGCAGAGAUGUGAUAGUGCUAGCUUGCUAGAACUUUCAUACAGGUGCUGCACGGCUGUCGUCAGCUCGUGUCGUGAGAUGUUGGGUUAAGUCCCGCAACGAGCGCAACCCUCGUCGUUAGUUGCUAACAGUUCGGCUGAGAACUCUAACGAGACUGCCUGGGUAACCAGGAGGAAGGUGAGGACGACGUCAAGUCAUCAUGGCCCUUACGUCCAGGGCUACACACGUGCUACAAUGGGGCAUACAAACCGUUUGCAAAGCCGCGAGGUUGAGCUAAUCGGUAAAACACUGUCCC